UAUCUAUCUCUGAAUGGAAUCAAUUGUAAAAUUUCAGACACGAAGAAUAUCCCAUUGGCAAUUUUAUAGAGUGAAAUGAUGUCAUUCAUUUGUCAACUAUUUUGCAGCUCUGUUAAUACAAAUUGCCCUCAAAUAUGUGAAUAUACAUGAUCACUACUAAAAAUAUUUUCCUUAGAGGACAGAAAUCUAAGAAAUUUCGUACCUCUCAAUUAUGUUUAUUUGUAUUGAAAAUUUAAAAGACUAAAAAUAAAUGAAUAAAAAAAAUUCCAGAUAAGUUUUGUAAAGACCUGCAGUGUUGAAGGAACUUAUUUGACUACUUGAAUAAACAAUUAAAAAAUGUUCUUCCAACUGGUUCUUCUGAAAGUAAAAUAUCAAACAAAUGUAUGGUCUAUAAUUAUUUCAACAAAUAACCUAUUACUACUCUUUCAUUAAAAAAUAAUAUGCUUUUCUAUGGACUAGUAUAAAAAAUUCUAUUCUAUUAUUCUAUUCUAAAUCCUUUAACAAAAUCAAUAGACUGAAGAAUUACUGAGGGAUAUAGUAAACUGAUAUCACAAUAAACAAUAUAAUUUCAAUGAAGGAUUUGUUUUGAAUUUGAUAUGGAUUCAAUGACACAGCUAAGAUUAUUAUGUAGAGAUAAGGCAAUUCAAGUUCUGACAGGGUAAUAGUAUAACUGCAAAUUGUCUUUUCAACACACCUCAACUGAUAGUGCAGAAAAAAAGUUUAGUGAAUUAUUUGUGCAAUACUGGAACCUGAAGAAAAACAACAUGAUCUAAAGUCAGCAUAGUUUGAAAACCCCCUAUUAUGCAGGAGAUAUUAUGAAAUAUUCAUUAUGUAAUAUUUUUUACAAGUUCAGAUAUUCUGUAAUGAAAAAGGAAAUAAACCAUUGUGUUAAA